GGAGAGAUGUCCGAGCUGGCCGAAGGAGCACGACUGGAAAUCGUGUGUGCCGUCAAAAGCGGCACCGUGGGUUCGAAUCCCACUCUCUCCGCCA
rnacentral:tRNA from 1 species